GCAAAACAUGUGACCGGACCUUCCCUUCUUUUCAGGCUCUAGGCGGCCAUAGAGCUAGCCACAAGAAACCUAGAGCCACCUCCUUUUACUCCAACCUUGACCUAAAGAAGAGUAUCUACGAAAACGACGCCGCUUCACUCGUUACAACCACAAAUAUUUACAAUAACAACAAAAACAACAACAAUAGAUCGCUUGUUGCUUACGGAAAGGCAAAUAACAAUAAAGUUCAUGAAUGUGGAAUUUGUGGAGCCGAGUUUACGUCUGGACAAGCCUUAGGUGGUCACAUGAGACGGCAUAGAG
rnacentral:lncRNA from 1 species